rnacentral:misc_RNA from 1 species
GGAUGAAGAACGUAGCGAAAUGCGAUAAGUAGUGUGAAUUGCAGAAUUCAGUGAAUCAUCGAAUCUUUGAACGCACAUUGCGCCCCUUGGUAUUCCAUGGGGCAUGCCUGUUCGAGCGUCAUUUGUACCCUCAAGCUUUGCUUGGUGUUGGGUGUUUGUCCUCUCCUUUGCGUUUGGACUCGCCUUAAAGCAAUUGGCAGCCAGUGUUUUGGUAUUGAAGCGCAGCACAUUUUGCGAUUCUAGCCGAUAAUACUUGCGUCCAUAAGCCUUUUUUAACUUUUGACCUCGGAUCAGGUAGGGAUACCCGCUGAACUUAAGCAUAUCAAUAAGCGGAGGA